UCGCUCCUACCGAUUGAGUGAUCCGGUGAAUAACUCGGACUGAUGCAGUGCUCAGCUCCUGGACGUUGCAUUGGAAAGUUUAGUGAACCUUAUCACUUAGAGGAAGGAG
rnacentral:rRNA from 1 species